rnacentral:rRNA from 1 species
AACGUUAUUCGGAAUCACUGGGCUUAAAGGGUGCGUAGGCGGCCAUGUAAGUGGGGUGUGAAAUCCCUCGGCUCAACCGAGGAACUGCGCUCCAUACUGCAUGGCUUGAGGGAGACAGGGGUAAGCGGAACUGAUGGUGGAGCGGUGAAAUGCGUUGAUAUCAUCAGGAACUCCGGUGGCGAAAGCGGCUUACUGGGUCUCUUCUGACGCUGAGGUACGAAAGCUAGGGGAGCGAACGGG